rnacentral:rRNA from 1 species
ACUAUGUGUUGUUGGGUAGGGGAGCGUUCUGUAAGCCUGUGAAGGUGUGUCGUGAGGCAUGCUGGAGGUAUCAGAAGUGCGAAUGCUGACAUAAGUAACGAUAAAGCGGGUGAAAAGCCCGCUCGCCGGAAGACCAAGGGUUCCUGUCCAACGUUAAUCGGGGCAGGGUGAGUCGACCCCUAAGGCGAGGCCGAAAGGCGUAGUCGAUGGGAAACGGGUUAAUAUUCCCGUACUUGGUGUUACUGCGAAGGGGGGACGGAGAAGGCUAUGUUGGCCGGGCGACGGUUGUCCCGGUUUAAGCGUGUAGGUGUGUGUUCCAGGUAAAUCCGGUU